rnacentral:pre_miRNA from 13 species
AACUGAGGACUGGUUCGGACUUGCGCUGAUUCUUUUCACGGCGAUAUCACGCAGCGCUGACUAUCACCGGAAGAGAAUCCGGCACAUGUUUGAUCCUUCCUC